GUAGGUGAACCUGCGGAAGGAUCAUUAACACGUUCCAAAACGUAUCAACCAAACGGUUAAGUGUAAACUUACUCCCUAUCUAGGAAAGCUGCGCAACACUCUUUAGUGAUGGGUAACGUCUCUCGAGAUGUUACAGAGAGUGUUGACUAGGGUCUCGAGCCCAGUGUUUUCCUUUAUAGGCUUUUUCCCCUUUUGGGGCCUUUUUCCCCAUCACUUCGAACUAACUACUUUCACCCUUUUAAUCAUUUGA
rnacentral:misc_RNA from 1 species